AAGAAUUUAAGUUAAUAAAACUAAUAGUCUUCAAAACUGAAAAUAUUUGUGCUAAUCUUUUAAUUCUUA
rnacentral:tRNA from 1 species